rnacentral:lncRNA from 1 species
GGCUCCCUCACCACCCUGCCUGGCUUGGCAGGAGUCGUCUGAGAAGGGGACUCCUCCAGGGACUUGGUCCCUAGGUCCCCAGGUGAGCUGGAUGUCCAGUGGAGGGAGAAUGCAGAGGAUGGGGAGACUGAGGCCGUGGCUGUGUGUCCCUCUGAGAGUUGGAGCGGGGCUGGGCCCGAAUUCGACCGCAGCAGGAUUCUCUCUCAUUUCUGAGCCCCGGAGGUGGCAGAGCGGCAGACCCGGGCAAGUGAACCCUAGGGCUGCAGGAGCCCAGGCCCCGACGCCGGCGCAGAGGGGACGGAAGGGCCCGCCCCCAGCCCAGCGUGCACAGAGGCCAUAGCCAAGGCCUUAAGGCUCAUCCAACCGGGGACUCAUAUCCCCCCCACCGGCAGCCCGGCGCCCCAGCCUCUACCCGUGCCCGCCGAGAUGCUGC